GACGUAGGGCGCGAGCGUUGUCCGGAUUUAUUGGGCGUAAAGAGCUCGUAGGCGGCUUGUUGCGUCGACUGUGAAAACCUGCGGCUCAACCGUGUGGUCUGCAGUCGAUACGGGCAGGCUGGAGUUCGGUAGGGGAGACUGGAAUUCCUGGUGUAGCGGUGAAAUGCGCAGAUAUCAGGAAGAACACCCGUGGCGAAGGCGGCUCUCUGGUACGUGACUGACGCUGAGACGCGAAAGCGUGGGGAGCGAACAGG
rnacentral:rRNA from 1 species